CCUACGGGAGGCAGCAGUGGGGAAUAUUGGGCAAUGGGCGCAAGCCUGACCCAGCAACGCCGCGUGAAGGAAGAAGGCUUUCGGGUUGUAAACUUUUUUUAAGAGGGAAGAGCAGAAGACGGUACCUCUUGAAUAAGCCACGGCUAACUACGAGCCAGCAGCCGCGGUAAUACGUAGGUCGCAAGCGUUGUUCGGAUUUACUGUGUGUAAAGGGCGUGCAGAUGGGAAGACAAGUCAGAUGUGAAAUCCCGCGGCUAAACCGCCGAACUGCAUUUGAAACUGUUUUUCGUGAGUACCGUUGAGGUCAGCGGAAUUCCUUGUGUAGCGGUGAAAUGCGUAGAUAUAAGGAAGAACACCAGUGGCGAAGGCGGAUGACUGGACGGCAACUGACGGUGAGGCGCGAAAGCGUGGGGAGCAAACAGGAUUAGAUACCCUAGUAGUC
rnacentral:rRNA from 1 species